rnacentral:snoRNA from 1 species
ACCCCCUGGUUCCCUUUCGCCUCAGAACUUGGUGCUGAGCUUGGUGAUCAUAGAGGAAGAGGAGUGCACUGACUGACCUCACAGUGAUGCCUUCACAGGGCCAGAUUCGUACAAGC